UACGUAGGGUGCGAGCGUUGUCCGGAAUUACUGGGCGUAAAGAGCUCGUAGGUGGUUUGUCGCGUUGUCCGUGAAAACUCACAGCUCAACUGUGGGCGUGCGGGCGAUACGGGCAGACUGGAGUACUGCAGGGGAGACUGGAAUUCCUGGUGUAGCGGUGGAAUGCGCAGAUAUCAGGAGGAACACCGGUGGCGAAGGCGGGUCUCUGGGCAGUAACUGACGCUGGAGGAGCGAAAGCGUGGGGAGCGAACAGG
rnacentral:rRNA from 1 species